CUUUAUGGCGGCUGUACGUGGGGCACAUUCGUGUGCGCCGGGUUCCCUUGCUCUCGGUCUGUCAACCCACGUAUAGCUGCCACCUUU
rfam:Pseudomonas alkylphenolica strain KL28 chromosome, complete genome.